UACGAAGGGUGCAAGCGUUAAUCGGAAUUACUGGGCGUAAAGCGUGCGCAGGCGGUUGUGCAGGACAGAUGUGAAAUCCCCGGGCUCAACCUGGGAAUUGCAUUUGUGACUGCACGGCUAGAGUGUGUCAGAGGGGGGUAGAAUUCCACGUGUAGCAGUGAAAUGCGUAGAUAUGUGGAGGAAUACCGAUGGCGAAGGCAGCCCCCUGGGAUAACACUGACGCUCAUGCACGAAAGCGUGGGGAGCAAACAGG
rnacentral:rRNA from 1 species